UAGACAUACAACUGAUUCGAGAUUAUAUCGACCUAGAAAAAUUGUACCUCCGCAUAAACGUAAAAACGAAGGCAUUUCAACAAGUAGCGCGUCAGCUAAAAAAAUAAAAGUGACCGUUGAAGAUCAAGUUACGAAGGAUCUUGAAGACCAUUAUAGGUGAAGUGUGUGAAAUGUGAUGGAAAAGUAAAUUUUCAUUCGACUAAGAAAGAAGGCCUUGGAUUUAACAUCAAAGUGUCGUGCGAAUGCUGUAAACAGAUUACAAAUGUUCCGUCUAGUGCAAGAAUAAACUCUGGUACUUUCGAUGUUAAUUAUCGGUUUGUUUUCGUGAUGAGGAUAUUAGGCCUUGGAUUAGUUGGCUGUGAAAAGUUCUGCGGCUUGAUGGAUUUGUCUAGUAGGUUUUUAUCAAAACCGACGUACAAUGAUUACGUGAAAGAAAUGUGCUCGACUGUAAGAGAAGUAGCGAAUCGAUUUUUUUAAUCUGCUAUAAAAGAAGAAAAAGCAGCAACAGCCGAAGAGCUAUCAUGGAUGAUAGCAACAUCCUUUAUGGACCUGGCAUUGAUGAUUCAGUGUGAGAUGAUCCAGCACCAAGUUAUGAGGGGCACGGCAAUUAUACUUUUUUCCGAGACACGUCCGAAUAAUUGCUGUCAUUGCCGUAUUUUUUAAUAUUUCUCCGUGAAAAUUUUACGGGAAAAUCUAACGGGAACGAGUGCAUUCAGUGCGGCCAGGGCGUUGGCAGUCACACCCGAUCUGGACUUCAUUGUCAGCACCUUACAGAUGCUUGACACCUUUGACGCGGUUAUAUUCAAUUCUUACAUCAAUGAUUUAGAAAUUAAUAAUCUGUUUAAUCUGAAUGCUUCCUGCAUUAUUGGUAUCAGAUACAAAAAAACAUAUACAGCACUUUUGACUUUUUAUAGGAAAUAAAUAUUGAUUAUUUGUCAUA